GAUGAACGCUGGCGGCGUGCUUAACACAUGCAAGUCGAACGAAGCAUUUAGGACAGAUUACUUCGGUUUGAAGUUCUUUAUGACUGAGUGGCGGACGGGUGAGUAACGCGUGGGUAACCUGCCUUGUACUGGGGGAUAGCAGCUGGAAACGGCUGGUAAUACCGCAUAAGCGCACAAUGUUGCAUGACAUGGUGUGAAAAAGUCCGGUGGUAUAAGAUGGACCCGCGUCUGAUAAGAUAGUUGGUGAGAUAACAGCCCACCAAGGCGACGAUCAGUAGCCUACAUGUGAGGGUGACCGGCCACAUUGGGACUGGGCAACGGCGCAGACUCCUACGGGAGGCAGCAGUGGGGAAUAUUGCACAAUGGAGGAAACUCUGAUGCAGCGACGCCGCGUGAGUGAAGAAGUAAUUCGUUAUGUAAAGCUCUAUCAGCAGGGAAGAUAGUGACGGUACCUGACGAAGAAGCUCCGGCUAAAUACGUG
rnacentral:rRNA from 1 species